CCCGCUGUUGGCAGCAAAUGAGGCCACAAAGGAAGCGGAUGCCGGAUGAGCUGCAAGUUUUUCCACGAAAGUUUCCAGCCAGUGCCGCCCCACAAGUGCCAACUGAAAAUUUAUGGCCCUGUUUUCAAACUUGGCACAGCAUCCAUCGCCUCGUAUAGAUUUAAUUUUCACCCCGUCUCUUUCUCUGUGCAAAAUCAAUUAACAAGAAGCUGAAGCCAAUGUUCGACGUUUCUUUGAUAAGAAACUGUUAGUUGGUUCUUUACUUUGACUAGAAGAUGUGGUUAGUUGUGGGGCUGCUUCAGUUGGUGGCUUUGGUUGACUGCCAGUCCAAGAUGACCAAACAGGAUUGUGAUAAUUAUAUGAGACACUCAGAGCCACAAGUCACAAAAGUUUUAGAGUGUCUAAUGACACACUAUAACCUAAACACACUCCUUGUACAGCUGCACAAGAAAAUGGAUCAAAUUGAGCUUAAAUUAAAGGAAGCUCUUAAAAAGCAUCAAGACUUUAAUACACCCUAUACAAAAAUCGACAAUGUACUGGAAAUAAAUGAGGAAAAUCAGAAUUGCCAAAGCCAGCAGCAGUUGGUUCAGGCUAUUCGUCGAAAAUUGGAGUGGCAUAGCCUAGUGGAAGGCAUAGAUACCUCUCAUUUUGAAUGGCCACGCCGCAUCAAGACAUCCAAGCGAAAAACCCCAAUCAAUGAUAAGGAUCCAGAGCUAGAGCUCUUUAGGAAGGACCCCAAGGACUCUGCCGUUUUGGACGGCGUUCAGUGUUUCGUGAUAAAUAGCCUGCGAAGCUCUGGUAAUGAAUCAAACAUUUAACCUUUGAUUGUGCCAAUUGAUUGCGGCAAUUAAAGCGACAUAAAAGCGAUGGUGACAGGUGUGAAACGAAAGGCAGCCGAGGCUUCUGCAUUUAAAUUGUAAAUAAAUAUGUGAGCAUUCUCCCUUCGCACACACAAUGGCAACGCAAUCAACAAACUGAAGCGAAAACUUUAUCUCGCAGAGAUGUGAAACAGUAAUCUGAAUUUUUACUGGAAAAAUUUCAGGGGGAAUGAAAUAUAUAAAUUGAAGUGUAAGGAGUCAAAAAUGGAG